GAUGAACGCUGGCGGCGUGCCUAAUACAUGCAAGUCGAGCGAACGGACGAGAAGCUUGCUUCUCUGAUGUUAGCGGCGGACGGGUGAGUAACACGUGGAUAACCUACCUAUAAGACUGGGAUAACUUCGGGAAACCGGAGCUAAUACCGGAUGAUAUUUUGAACCGCAUGGUUCAAAAGUGAAAGACGGUCUUGCUGUCACUUAUAGAUGGAUCCGCGCUGCAUUAGCUAGUUGGUAAGGUAACGGCUUACCAAGGCAACGAUGCAUAGCCGAGCUGAGAGGGGGAUCGGCCACACUGGAACUGAGCCACGGUCCAGACUCCUACGGGAGGCAGCAGUAGGGUAUCUUCCGCAAUGGGCGAAAGCCUUACGGAGCAACGCCGCGUGAGUGAUGAAGGUCUUCGGAUCGUAAAACUCGGUUAUUAGGUAAGAACAUAUGUGUAAGUAACUGUGCACAUCUUGACGGUACCUAAUCAGAAAGCCACGGCUAACUACGUG
rnacentral:rRNA from 1 species